GCUCCCCGAGGGAGGCGGGGGCUGCAGAAGGCGGGCCCUGGGUCCUGCGUUGGGGGAUCCCCGGACCCGGGGGCACCCUGCAGGCCUGGCGGGGCGGGGGGCGUCGUGGGGGAGGCGGCGCGACCGCUGGGCAAAGAGAGGAAGAAGCAGGUUUUUCUGGCUCUGAAUCUUCAACCAAGAGACCUGGUUGUGGGCCUCAGAGGUUGUCCCCUGCUUGCAGGGCUGGCAAAGACCAGCCGGGAACUAUUUUUGACUUUCCAGGCCAUGUGGCUUCUGCCACAACUGCUCAGCUUCGCCCCGAUGCCUUGAAAGCAGCGGUGGCCCAUAUGUAAAUGAAAUCAAGCUUUACUCCCGAAAACCAGCAGCAGGGCUGGAUGGGGCCUUUGGGUCACAGGGUGCUGCUGGCUCCUGUGCCAGUUGAUUGCUCUCAUGUCCUAGGACAGAAGGUCCCCCAUAGCAGUCCACGCGCUCUGACUGGUUCUUCCACUUGCCUCUGCUUCCGAAUACCCCAAGGAGCCUACGGAGAACACAGAUGCUUGGGACCCAGCCCAGACUUCCAAAUCAGAAUGUGCAGGGAUGGCCUGGGGUCUGGGCCCUAGGUGAUUCUGACCUGGGCCUGUUGUGACCUGGUCCAAGAUGCAGUCAAGGAGACAAGACCCUCCAACAUGAAGUGGCCCAAGGAAGCAACAGGUACCAUCCACCUGCCUCUGUCUAAGCAGACAUCUUCUCCUGCGGCUAUUUUACCUGGGACUCUUCAAGCCAUCUGGAAAAACUCCAAUGGUGGGGUGACACUUUCCAGAGGCCUGGCAUCUAGCCCCCACUCACCUGCCCAGUUAUCUCUGCCACUUUGCCCUUCACUCCCUCUGGACCGGAUGCACAGAGCUCCCAGCAUCUCCAGGCAGCCCCUCCCUCUCUCUCACUUUGGAGCUCAUCACUCCACCUGGCACACGUGGCAGGGGCUCUAUACACCCUCCCCGAGUUGAUGGAUGACCCGUCCAGCAGCAUGGAGGAAGCGGGACUAUGCCCCAGAACAGAUCUGCCCCCUACUUCUCUGCCCUUAGGGGGAGCCUGCCAGAUGGCCUCUCACCCUCAUAGCGUUUCUUUCUUAAGCCUCAGACCCUUCCCCGCCUCCUAGUAUUGGAUGCCUGAGCCUCAACCGGGUGCCUCCAACGGCCUCCGGAGCCCCAGCUACCUUAGGCAGCCUUAAUUAAUUGUAAAAUUGAUGAAGCGGCCCCCUUUGUUAGGCUGGGCUGGUGUUUAUUUGUAUUUUCAUAUUAUUAUCCUUUUAUACUUCUCUGGGCGCCUUCCGCUCUCUACUGACACCUUUUAUUGGGGAAAUGUUAAUUUAAAAAUCAUCUAUAAUGCAGGUGUCACAAAUCAAAGCUGUUCGGUAAUGAGUUGCUCUUAUGUCGUAUAAAAACAAUUAAUUAAAACCCUUUCUGAGAGAGCCGUGCCGGCAGAUUUAUGUUUCCCAGUGUCUCCCCUCGACCUUCCUUUUUAAGGACCCUCGUGCACUCAUCUGCCUUCUGUGGGAGGAUGGUUUCCUCCUACCUCUGCCCAGGAAAUAGAGUCCUAGCCCGGUGGA
rnacentral:lncRNA from 1 species